GACGAACGCUGGCGGCGUGCUUAACACAUGCAAGUCGAACGGUAAGGCCCUUCGGGGUACACGAGUGGCGAACGGGUGAGUAACACGUGGGUGAUCUGCCCUGCACUUCGGGAUAAGCCUGGGAAUCUGGGUCUAAUACCGGAUAGGACUCCGGACUGCAUGGUCUGGGGUGGAAAGCUUUUGCGGUGUGGGAUGGGCCCGCGGCCUAUCAGCUUGUUGGUGGGGUGAUGGCCUACCAAGGCGACGACGGGUAGCCGGCCUGAGAGGGUGACCGGCCACACGGGGACUGAGAUACGGCCAGGACUCCUACGGGAGGCAGCAGUGGGGAAUAUUGCGCAAUGGGCGCAAGCCUGAUGCAGCGACGCCGCGUGAGGGAUGACGGCCUUCGGGUUGUAAACCUCUUUCAGCACCGACGAAGCGAAAGUGACGGUAGGUGCAGAAGAAGGACCGGCCAACUACGUGCCAGCAGCCGCCGUAA
rnacentral:rRNA from 1 species